GACAGAGGUGCCAAGCGUUAGGCGGAAUCACUGGGCUUAAAGCGUGUGUAGGCGGAAUUGUAAGUACCUUGUGAAAUCCCACAGCUCAACUGUGGAACUGCUCGGUAUACUGCUUUUCUUGAGCCACUUAGGGGCUGUCGGAACAAACGGUGGAGCGGUGAAAUGCGUAGAUAUCGGAAGGAACAUCAGUGGCGAAAGCGACUUCCUGGACCAGUACCGACGUUCAGGCACGAAAGCGUGGGGAGCAAACAGG
rnacentral:rRNA from 1 species